rnacentral:rRNA from 1 species
AUUGAACGCUGGCGGCAGGCCUAACACAUGCAAGUCGAAUGGUAACAGGAAACAGCUUGCUGUUUCGCUGACGAGUGGCGGACGGGUGAGUAAUGUCUGGGAAACUGCCUGAUGGAGGGGGAUAACUACUGGAAACGGUAGCUAAUACCGCAUAACGUCGCAAGACCAAAGAGGGGGACCUUCGGGCCUCUUGCCAUCAGAUGUGCCCAGAUGGGAUUAGCUAGUAGGUGGGGUAACGGCUCACCUAGGCGACGAUCCCUAGCUGGUCUGAGAGGAUGACCAGCCACACUGGAACUGGGACACGGUCCAGACUCCUACGGGAGGCAGCAGUGGGGAAUAUUGCACAAUGGGCGCAAGCCUGAUGCAGCCAUGCCGCGUGGAUGAAGAAGGCCUUCGGGUUGUAAAGUACUUUCAGCGGGGAGGAAGGGAGUAAAGUUAAUACCUUUGCUCAUUGACGUUACCCGCAGAAGAAGCACCGGCUAACUCCGU